GAUGAACGCUGGCGGCGUGCCUAAUACAUGCAAGUCGAGCGGCAGCACGGUCUUCGGACUGGUGGCGAGCGGCGGACGGCUGAGUAACGCGUAGGAACAUGCCCUAAAGUGAGGAAUAACUGCCUGAAAGGGUGGCUAAUGCCGCAUGUGCUCUUCGGGGUAAAGCUUUAUGCGCUUUAGGAGUGGCCUGCGUCCGAUUAGCUAGUUGGUGAGGUAAUGCUCACCAAGGCGACGAUCGGUAGCUGGUCUGAGAGGAUGAUCAGCCAGACUGGAACUGAGAACGGUCCAGACUCCUACGGGAGGCAGCAGUAGGGAAUUUUCCACAAUGGGCGAGAGCCUGAUGGAGCAACGCCGCGUGCAGGAUGAAUGCCUUCGGGUUGUAAACUGCUUUUAUGUGCGAAGAAUUUGACUGUAACACAUGAAUAAGGGUCGGCUAACUACGUGCCAGCCGCCGCGGUAA
rnacentral:rRNA from 1 species